GUUAGUGUUCGGUCGACGGUUAGACGCACAGAAGUGACAGAACACAACCCGAAGUCCCGUAAGUGUAAAACCAGAAGUACCGGCCAAACGCCAAAGCCCUUCCCUGUCAAACUGCGUCGUUUCAACCGGAGGACAGAUAGCAACUAUCAAUGGCGCCUUAGGCCAGGCUCCAACGAGUAGCUGAAGCUGUUAGAAGCCAUGGCGGAUCCCUACUACAGAUACGGUGCAUCCGAGGACAGAGUAUCCAGUGUUGCAAGGCACAGCUUUCCUGGCUACCUGUCGUCUGAAGCACCACUAUUGCCGUCUUAUCCUAAUUUGGGCUCUACUAAUGUGCUUGGUGCUUCUUCAAAUUUCCUGCAGAAAGAUAUAAACUCAUUGCAACCUGGCACAUAUCGCUUUGAUGAUAUUUCGGGUACUGGAGCUCGUCCCGAUCCUGGUCUUGGUGGUGUAACGGCAGCAGCUAGCACAAAUGGCUUCCCAUCUCCUCUAGAAGAUCCAAAGCAAAGACGAGAUGUUGCACCAGGUGUUAGUCCGGGAAUUCGUUCCAUGAGUAAUGAAAUACCUAGCUCUUUGAGAAAAGUUGACGGCUUCCCAGUUUCAGCUAGGGAAUCAAACAUUCUGUUUGUUGAUAAACUUCCAAAUAACUGUACCAGAAGAGAAGUGGGUCAUCUUUUCCGUCCAUUUAUUGGCUAUAAAGAUAUUAAAGUUAUUCACAAGGAGCCCAGACGUAGUGGAGACAAGGCUACAGUUUUGUGCUUUGUGGAGUUUGCCGACCCUAAAUGUGCUCUGACUGCUAUGGAAGCUAUUCAAGGUUACAAAUUUGAUGACAAAAAACCUGACGCUCCUGCCUUGAGCAUCCAAUUUGCACAUUUUCCAUUCCGUCAACCAUCUGAUCAUGAUGAGGAAGGCGAUGCGGUUCUACGCUGACCACAAGUACCUGACUGGGAUGACAAUUACUAACAGAAAAAUGCUUGUCCAUCCUGAACUAGAAACAGUUUUAUCAAAGCUCGACCUUUGUCAUGUUAUGGAACAUGGAAAUAUUGCACAAUGCUUGUAUAUUUGAAGUCAACAGAAUGAGUACUGCGAAAAGUCGGUUGUGCAGCUGAAAGUUUUAUGCCAAUGAGUCAAUGACGUUCCUAAAGAUGUUGCUGGCUUGAGCCCUUUUCACGACGGUUCUUCUGAAUCGUGACCAACUCUUUGUAAUGCCAAGAAAAAUGGUAAUCAUAUGGGUUUAAUUC